rnacentral:lncRNA from 1 species
UUCUGGGUCAGAGUGGAACAGUCCUCACUCACGGGUGUGCAGGGAGUCCCGCAGGAGUGCAGGGAGAGGGCCCAGGAGACCCUCAGUGGGAGUCAUGGGUCCACAGGACACCAUGGCUGCCUCUUUGGCCUUUAUCUCUACAGCAGGCUGAGUAGGUUCCUCCAGCCCUGAGGGCCCCGCAGGGAGGGGAGGGUCCUGGCCUUUCUGGCCCCUGCAUCCCUAAAGAGGCUUAUGCAUAAAGACUCUCCUCAGGAACCAAGUGGUUGGAGGAGUUGGGGAAGGGAAGUGAGGUGAGCAUGCCUACUUGCUGCUGGUGGAACAAGAUGGAAGAAAAUGGGCUCUUAUUGCUCCGCCACUAACACCAGAGUCCACGGCCUGUCAGAGGCAUUUCCGGUAUCCAUCCUUUAGGCAUCAGCCCGGGACAGACAGAGCUGCACUCCAGUCCUGCCUCGUCUGUGGGGAGACCUACCUGCUCCCCAGGAAAGGCACUUCCUUCCUUUCUGAGACCUUUCGGUGGGCCUCCUCUCCGAGGAGAAGUAGAAGACCGGGGUUUGGAUGUGGUUGUUUCUGAGAUCUGUGGAAAUCGCAUCACGUAGCAGCGGCAUGUGGCAGCUUUGAGUGCCAGAGAGCGCCUCCCGGACCUGCAUCCCAAUCCCAUCUCUCUUAGCGACUCACCGUGUGAGCCCCAGCCUCUCACACAGCCCUGUGCUGUCAGUUUGUUCCUCUGUAAUGUGGAGGGAUCCCACGGAAUAGUCCUCUUCCUUCCUGGAGGGAAGGGAUCCAAGAGAUGAAAGAUAGGAGCCGGUGUCCAGGCAGGAAACAGACAAUGUGACUAAGCGAGGCAUUUUGUCUGGUGUCCUCAAUCUGGAGUCACUGGCCUGAGGCCCCCAGCUGCGUGCUUGGAGGUUAUGAACCCUCUGAGUCAUCUGUAAAAGCAGUGGGUGAGUGAGUUCUCUUGGGAGUCCUUGAGAAGAUGCUCAGAGUCUUGGCACCCCCAAGGUGGACACAUACUGGCAGCUUCGGGUGAGAACAGCCACUAGGUUGGAGAGGCUGGGCCUCCCCUUAGACGCAGCAUCUUGAUCAGAAACUUGGCCUCUUGUCCAGGGGAUGGAGGGCACCUCGCCCCUGAUCCUGGGUGAAGCCUUUGAGGAAGGCAGAGAAGCAUGGGACAUAGAGACUGUCACAUGUGCAGGGGGGUCAGAGAAGGACAGAUUUCCAAGCAGAUGCAGCUGCCUCCUCACCCCUUCGUGGAGCAGAGCUGCGGCUCUGAGACCGGAACCUGUCCCUUCAGAUCUCUAGGCACUGGUUUCCCUGACGUGGAUCAGGUGGGAAAAGCCCUGGUCAGGCUGCAGGUUUGGGGGAGAUGGCUCCUGUAGUUUCGGAACCACUUUGGAUGUGGACCUGGCAGCCCCCACUUGGUUCUCUUGGCCUGACUGGACUCCGGGUUGUUCUUAUGUCGGGGCGUUCCCGUCCACAGGUGAACAGUAUCAGGGGCCAGGUUGGCAGGCUGCUGAGAACCACAAUGUCACACUGAAUGGCUCUUCCCAAGAGGCCGGGAACCUGGGGAACUGGGGAAAUGGAAGUGAGGUGAAGCCACAGGCAUGAACUCAAGUGGAGUUGCAAGGUCAAGACCCCAUGUGACCUAGUGUCUGUUUGUUUAGCCAGCAGCUAAUGUUUCACCUCAUUAGAAAAGAGAGCUUUGAAAGGGCUUGAUCACUGAUAAUAAGCCAGUGCAUUGUUUAUCACUGAUGCAGUUCAUUUCAAAGCAAUUCAAUUAAUAAACCAAAUGUUUCUGAGUUACCUGUUGUGUCUUGAAUCCCUUACCAGGCACUGCUAAGGAUGUAUAAGAAAUAAAAGGCAUGGGCUCUGCUUUCAAUGAGCUCAUCCGUUCGCUGGGUGGAAUAAACAUUUGUGCAAGGAGUAGCUGGGGAGAACCACAGCUAGGCUUCGUAUAAAUGUGCAUCUAGAAUUCAGUCUCUGGUCAAGCACUCUUUGCUGGUUUUUAUAUCUCCAGCUCGAAGCUUCUGAGAAAUGGUAGAUUGCAAAGUCUCAUCUGCCUCUUCAACUUUUCCCAUUUUAGGUCUGAGAGCAUAACUCAUGAUUGUUUUCCAGGGAAGAGGUAACAGACAUGCAGAGGGAAUGAGGCUGUUCCUGGUUAGGAGAUAAGGAGGGAUGGAUGAUAGUUAGAUUAAAGGUUGUUCUUUCCAAGAGAUCAAAGAGUGUGGGUUCCUUGGCUUGACCCCCCCCCACUUCCAUCUUGCUCCACCCUUUCUCUGCCUUCUGCCUCUCCCCAGGCUGACCACAUGGCUGACACUCUCUUUAAUAAACCCUUGGUUCUCCAGGGGAAAAAAGCCUUGAUUUAGAGCAUAUGCCAGUUUCUGUGGUGUAAAUGUUUCCACCAUGGUGAGAUCAAGCUACCAAUGGUAUAACAACCAAAUCACAGAAUUCCUACAAUUCUACACGCAGCUGUCCUGAGCUGGCGCAUCACUGUGAGUCCCCUCCCUGUUGAGCUGGUCAUCACCCACCCCUUUACAGAGCCUUGGGUCCACAUCUUAUUGGCAGAGUGGUGUCUUCUAUGAUAUACCAGCUUAGGUACCCACUGGGCAACAUCCAGUAGGAAUGGGAAGUUCAGGGAAGAAAAUGUAGCUCCAUUGGGUACCUAGUAUCCCAACAGAAUGAUCAGAAACUGAAAGCUGAGCAAAAGAGGGUCUGUGUGGUUGUUUGAGUUCUUAAACUUAGAAGAGAAAGCUGUAUUUUUGAAGAUAUGCCGCAUGGCCUGGACAGUAGACCGGCUUAGAUGACCUCUGAAGAUUAUUAAAUCCAUUUUUAGAAAAUUGUAUGAAGCUUCUAAUGGGCGAGGGAUCGGGACCCCUCUGUUUUCAAGAUGAUAUUCCAUCACCUUUCCGCUCCUUUCACUGAGCCCAUCUUCCUCUUACCUUCCAAUCCACUUUGCUCCAGGGUAAUCCCCUUCGUCAUCUACAAGAUGUCAGAUUACCCCGGGUCAGGUUGAAAACAUCAGUACUUAAGAGGUCAAGGCUUACCUGGUCCCACCACCUAAGGGUAUCCACUCCGGACAAUUCCCCUGUCUUCCCUCCAUGCUGAGAUCCCGAGGGGCUGAGGAGGGGAGGAUGGGAACGGAGUCCAGGGGGCACUGAGUCUUGGUGCCUGUGAGCAGGGAAGGAGACAAACAGUCCGGUUCAGCUUCCCCAGGUGAUGUGCUCCGGUGGGAGCCUGACAAGCCCGCAGAAGGUCUCGAAGGCGAAAUCAACCAGAAAUGUCAGUCAAGCAGUGGAGCGGGGCCAGAAAAACCAAGGCUGAAUUCCAGACGCCAGGAGGGCAGGAGAGGGGGAACGAGAGGAUAGAAUGAGAGCAUUUGUUUGCAAUUCUAAUAUAACAAAUCAACAGAUCACUGGGCAAAGAUGCCUAAUGAAAAUGCACAUGAUGGAUGUGGGCGGGUGGAGAGAGGAGGCGAGGGAUGGAAGGUGCAGGCACGGGGCCUGCCGGGGAAGUUAAAGGCUUUUGUGUCCGCUGCAGUCCUGCUGCCAAGGGCAAGGGCACCCAGGCCAGCUGGCCUUGGACUGGGAUCCUAAAUCUGCCCCUUACACAUUGUGUGGCCGUGGACCCGUUACCUCACCUUCCUGCUCCAACAUUUCUAUAAAAUACAGACCAGGUAGGGGCUUUGGGAGGAUACGAUAAGGUAGCUGGGACUGGUGAUGCCUGAUAUAUGAAAAUAGCUAUUAUUUUAUUUUCUUGCUGAGAACACGUAUGAACUCAUAGACAAAGAGCACAGACUUGUAGUUGCCAAAGGGGCGGGGGGAGGGAAGGACUGGGAGUGUGGGAUUAGCAGAAGCAGACUGUUAUACGUAGGAUGGAUAAACAAGGCCCUACUGGAGUUCCCUUCGUGGCGCAGUGGUUAACAAAUCCGACUAGGAACCAUGAGAUUUCUGGUUCGAUCCCUGCCCUUGCUCAGUGGGUUAAGGAUCCAGCAUCGCCGUGAGCUGUGGUGUAGGUUGCAGACGAGGCUUGGAUUCCGCGUUGUUGUGGCUGUGGUGUAGGCCGGUGGCUACAGUUCCGAUUGGACCCCUAGCCUGGGAACCUCCCUAUGCCGCGGAAGCAGCCCAAGAAAUGG